rnacentral:lncRNA from 1 species
GCAGAGGUUACAUGGCUCCUGAGUAUGCAAUGAGAGGUUACUUAACAGACAAAGCAGAUGUUUACAGUUUCGGUGUUGUCUGCUUAGAGAUUGUUAGCGGAAAGAGCAACACAAACUACAGACCAAAAGAAGAGUUUGUUUACCUUCUUGAUUGGGCAUAUGUCUUGCAAGAACAGGGGAGUCUUCUAGAACUCGUGGAUCCAGAUCUCGGUACAAGCUUUUCGAAGAAAGAAGCAAUGAGGAUGUUGAACAUAGCUUUACUAUGCACAAACCCAUCACCAACAUUGAGACCACCAAUGUCAUCUGUUGUAAAAAUGCUAGAAGGAAAAAUCAAAGUCCAACCACCACUGGUGAAACGUGAAGCAGACCCAAGUGGUUCGGCUGCAAUGAGGUUUAAGGCCUUUGAGCUUUUGUCACAAGACAGCGAGUCGUCACAGGUCUCAACAUAUGCAAGAAACGGUCAACAACACAUAAGCUCCUCGUCGAUGGACGGUCCUUGGGUUGAUUCUUCCUUCUCUGAGCCUAGCAAAGAUGCUGUUAACCAACAACAGCAAGAAGAAGCACGUUCAUCGUCUUCGUCGAGGAAACUUUUAGAUGAUCUCACCGAUGUGAAGAUUGAGUAAUGAAUAAAAAUGUAAAUCAUUAAAGAUUCUUUUAUUCAAUUUACGGAUCAGCAACAAUAUUCCAUCCAGUAAGAAAUUAUUUUCAGGUUUUGUUAUUACCGCUGUAAGUUUUCUUUGGUUUGAUGAGUUUGAUUUAUUAUGUUGUAGUGUAAUUAUGAGUUAAAUAAGCUGAGUUAUUUAUGAGUUAAGUAAGAGCAUCUCCAACCAUAGUUGUUUAAUAUGAAGUGCUUAUCACUAAAAUUAUACAAAUAUUGUUAUUUAAUUUGAUGGGUUGCUUAAAUAGUGAAAAAACAUUUCAAAAGUUCCUUAAAUCUCAUGUUUAAGCACUUUUGAAGGUAGAUUUUAUACUAUAUAAGCAACUCACAUAAUUUUUUUUUAAUAUUUUUUCUCUCUCUAAGAUAAGCAACUUAUGAUAACAACUCUUCAAUGGAGAUGGUCUAAGGGUUAUUUAUGAGUUAAGUAAGCUGUUUAGCGGAUCACAAUUAUCUAUAGAUAAAUAAGUGUCUAAAUGAUUUAUACAUUUUUAGCGGUUUUUGAAAAAUGUUAAGAUAGAUGCCAAAAAAAAAACACUAAACCUAAAAGAUUUCACAAAAUUUAGAAUAAAUUUAAAAUAGAGUAAUAUGUAAAUGUAAAAAAACAAAAAAAAAAUCUUAUUCGUUAUGUUUUCUAAUUUUAACGUUGAAGAGUUGUCAAAUUAAGACUCUUAACAAGCUCCUUUCAAUGCAAGCAAACACGACAAAGUAUGGCGAUGGAUUACAAUUUUGGUUAGCUACGGGUAGCUAAUUACCUCCUCUUUUCUUUCGGAAAUUUAUUUGUUGCUCUUUAAAUUUGCUCUGAUAUAAAAACUUUUUUUGUUUUGAAUAUAUUUUCACAUUCAUUCAAAAAAAAAAAAAAAAAAAAAUUAAGACUCUUAAUGAUGUUGUGUUUGCAAGAAAAGAAUUUACACAUUCAAAUAUAAAUUUGACCACAAAAAAUAACGUAACAUAAUAUUAAUAUCAUAAGUAUAUAAAUAAGAGGAAAUCAUAAAAUUUAUCGACACAUAUUUUUAUUUUUGUAUUUUUGUUGUAUUUUAGUGAUUUAAUUAAAACAUAGAUAAAACGAAGAAGACUAGAAAGAUGUCAAUGAAUACCCACAAAUAUUCCUAAUAAUUAUUCAGAUCCGAUGGCUAAAAUAUUAUUUUAUCCAUUUUAUACACUUUAAAAAGCUGCUUUCUUCUUCUUCUUUCUCUCUCAAUCACUUUGGUCUCUUUUUUUUUUUUCCCGAGAGAGAGAGAGAAAAAAGAAAUGGGAUUGUUAAUGUCGGGAGAGAAAGUGAAGUAUGCUCUUCUCUUCAUCUUCAUCAUCUGCUUCGAUAUUUUCUUCGCAUCAAAUGCUCAAUUUUUGCCAGACGAUGAAGGUCCUUUCUCUAUCUUACUCUUUUUCUUUUCUUUUUUUGGGGUUUACUCUUUCUAUUACAUAUUUACAUUUCCAGUUACAAGAUUUCUUCACUGACUCGCCGAUUCGACUUUAUUUUUCGAUGAAUUGUAUAAUUAUAAUUGGAUUGUUGCUUUAUAUAGAAAAAAGAGUGUCAAAUUAUUGGAUUCUUGCUUUAAAUACAUUUAUAAAAAUUAUCCUUUUUUUUUUUAAGUUAUCGAGUAAAACUAUAUUGUUGUUUAUUAAAUAUAUAUAUAUUUGCUGUUGAUGUUGGUCGUCAAUGGAUUUAUAAUUGUAUGGUAGUAUUUAUUUGGUCGUCGUGAAUCAUGGUAGUCUUUUUUUUUAUAUUUAAAACACAUCUGAAUCAAAUAGUUUAUAUUUUUAUAACGAUCCAUGAGUUAGAAAUAAAAUAAAAUGAACCAUAGAGUUAUCUAUAUUCUAUUAUUUUUUGUUUCCCUAUAUUCUAUUAUUGGUCAAUUUGUAAAUGCGUGACUAAUUUUUAUUUUAUUUUGUAAUAAAAUUCUACGGUGACAAAAAUAAUAAUAUGUGCAAGUUGGGUUGAUGAGAGAGAGACGUUGCGAAAAUCUCUGUGAAUGAGAUAUUUUAUAGUACAGUUAUUUAUAUCUCAUUCUCUUUUAUUUUAUUUAUAUAAAAAGCUUGGAUUGGCUUUAAAUCUUAGCCGUCAAAUGUAUUGUCAAUUUUUUUGAAACAGUUCAAACAUUGCGAACCAUCUUUAGAAAGCUUCAGCACCAAACAGUGCACGUCGAGAAGACUUCUUGUUCCGACGGGAAAUGGAACUUUACUACCGACUCAUCCCCCAAAGCAACCAGUAACAUCGCCUGCGACUGUACCUUCAACGCCAGUUCUGUCUGUCGUGUCACUUCCAUGUAUAUGUUUAUCCAUAUGUCAUCUCCCUAACUUUCCAAGCAAGAAACAGAUUUAGGGUUCUGAAAAAUAUAUAUUUUUUUUUCUUAUCAUUUUCAUCAACAGACAGCUUAGAGGUUUCAAUUUGCGAGGAAUUAUCCCGCCAGAAUUCGGGAACCUCACGCGUCUUAGAGAGAUGUACGAACCUCAGAUCUUUGUUUCUUGAUUUUACUGUCACUGACUCAAUGGAUCAUAGCUAAAAUGUCCGACGGCUUAUUGGGGCUUAAGCACUCUUUGUUCUUGGAUUUUCUUCUUCUUACAGAGAUCUUGUGCUGAACUUUCUCAGUGGAACAAUACCUAAGACAUUGUCUCGAAUUCCACUUGAAAUCUUGUAACCGUUCUCUCCAAUUCAUAUAUCUUUUUCUUGUGAUGAUCGAUUAGUUGUACUGAUUCUUGCCUUUUUGUUUUCUGCAACUAACAGGGCUGUAACCGGAAACCGUCUCUCCGGACCAUUUCCUCCUAGUAUCGUAGAUAUUACCACACUUACUCAACUGUAAUAUUUACAUAUCUGAUAUUCUUUUCUUCUAAUCAGAAUUUAUAGGAGACUCUAAUAUGGAAAAUAAAAUAAUUGCAGGCAUUUGGAAACUAAUUUGUUCACAGGAACACUUCCUUCAAACCUAGGGAACUUAAAAAGCUUGAGUAGAUUGUAAGAUCCUUUAUUAUAUAUACUUUUUCUUCUUCUUAUGUAUAUGUAUUAUUAUUGUAGUUUUACUUAGUGAUUUGGUAUAUUUAUGAUUACAGAUUAAUCUCUUCAAACAAUUUCACGGGUCGGAUCCCUGAGUCCUUGAGCAGCCUCAAGAACUUGACUGAUUUGUAAGUAUCAAGAAGUACAGUGGGAUUUCGAAAAUGUUGGAAUGAUUCUAAAAUUUUCAUCUGUUUCUUGCAGUCGGAUUGAUGGAAACUCUCUAUCAGGGAAGAUACCUGAUUUUAUUGGAAACUGGACUCAGCUCACUAGGCUGUGAGUAACCAUCAUUUAAAUUUUCAGCUUACUGUAAAAUUUUUAGUAAGACUGAAUUGUUUAAUCUGCAGAGACCUCGAAGGCACAUCAAUGGAAGGUCCAAUUCCAGCUUCAAUAUCAAACUUGAAGAACUUGACUGAAUUGUAAGUAAGCAAAGAGUUUCACAAUACCUUUUGAGCUUAGUCAUAAAGCUCUCUCUCCUUUAUCAGGAGGAUAACCGAUUUGCAUGGACCGACAUCUUCUUUUCCAGACCUGAAAAAUAUGACGAAUAUGCAACGACUGUAAGUGUUAAUAACUUUGACUUUACUCAUGUUAUAAACUCUGUUUCAUCAAACAACAUUUACAUAUCUUCUUUGCUUAUUAACUUUUCAUAGGGUACUAAGAAACUGUUUGAUAAAGGGACUUAUUCCUGAAUACAUUGGUACCUCCAUGAGUAAGCAGCUGAAGUUACUGUAAGUCAAAACUCACGUGCUACUUUUACAGCUUAAAGACUAAUAAUUUGAUCAAAGAUCUCACAUUGAAGUAUUUGUGUGUGUGCAGAGAUUUAAGCUCAAACAUGCUAACUGGUGUAAUUCCAGACACAUUUCGGAAUCUUGAGGCAUUUAACUUUAUGUAAGUUUCAAAUUUAUCAACAUGGAUGAUAUAAAUCUUACUUAAACUGUUUGUUAAUUAACCUUUGCUGCUUUAGGUAUCUGAAUAAUAACUCAUUGACUGGUCCAGUUCCUCAGUUCAUUCUGGAUAGUAAACAAAACAUGUAAGCAAACUAACUAACUACCUCGAAGUCCAAAAUUCAGAAUACAUCUGCAUCGAUCAACGUCCUUAAUUUCUUGAUCUGUUUUCAGUGAUCUAUCUUACAACAAUUUCACUCAGCCACCUACUGUAAGCUGUAAUCAGCUUGAUGUGUAAGCGUCUUUGUUAUUUGACAUCAGUAAUUUUCAGCUUCAUAUCGUUUAUAUGUUUUUCUCAUAAGCAUUAUUGGUUAAUAUUUUCAGGAACUUGAUCUCCAGCUACCCAUCAGCAACCAAUAACUCGUGAGUCUUCUUUCUCCCCUCUUUUUGGUUCAUAUAAAACCCGUAAACCAAAGAUACUUACCGCAAAGUACCACCUACUUGUGUAGUGUGCAAUGGUGCUUGAGGAAGGAUCUUCCAUGUCCUAAAGACGCAGAACGUAAGUUGUAAAUUCCAACUUUCAAGAUUUAAACUUUUUCUAGAAGAAAAAAAUGACCUGAAAAAGUUUCUCGCAGAUUCUUCCUUGUUCAUCAACUGUGGAGGUAACAAACUCAAGGUUGGUAAACACAUGUAUGCGGAUGACUUAAACAAGAGAGGAGCAUCAACAUUCUCUUCUGACUCUGAAAGAUGGGGAUACAGUAGUUCUGGAGCUUGGUUAGGCAAUGACGGUGCUCUCUACUUAGCAACAGACACAUUUAACUUGAUCAAUGAAUCAAGUCCAGAGUAUUACAAAACUGCCCGUCUUGCUUCACAAUCACUCAAGUACUAUGGACUCUGCAUGAUAAGUGGAAGUUACAAAGUGCAGCUCCAUUUUGCAGAGAUUACGUUCUCAAAUGACCAGACUUAUAGUAGCUUAGGGCGGCGAAUAUUCGACAUUUAUGUCCAAGUGAGUUUUGCAGAACAAAGAAGAAAUCAUUUUUUCCCAAAAUAAAGUUUCAGUUUCAGAAUUAAAAAUAGUAUUAUCUUGUGCAGGGGAAUUUGUUGGAGAGGGACUUUAACAUAGCAGAGAGAGCAGGUGGAGUUGGUAAACCGUUCAUAAGGCAAAUUGAUGAUGUUCAAGUGAAUGGAAGUACGUUGGAGAUCCACUUGAAGUGGUUAGGGAAAGGCACAAACGUAAUACCAACAAGAGGUGUUUACGGGCCUCUCAUUUCCGCCAUAACCAUUACACCAAGUGCGUUUUGUUUUCUUUCCAAUCUUUCUCAACUGUUUAAAAUAAUUCUGGAGUGAGUAAAUGAAUGAAUGUUCUUUCUCUAUUUUAUUGCUUGCUGUUUGUAGAUUUCAAGGUUGAUACCGGAAAAGAAUUAUCCAAUGGAGCAGUUGCAGGCAUUGUAAUUGCAGCGUGUGCGGCUUUCGGGUUGCUGGUACUUCUAAUCCUCAGGCUUACAGGUCACUUAGGUGGAAAAGAAGUGGAUGAAAAUGGUAAGAAAUAAAACAUCGUUCUAUUGUUCAAGAAAUGCUCUUGUCAUUUUCAAGAUCUUAUUGUUUCUUUCGAAUCUUACUAAUUUGUUAUAUCAGAGGAGCUUCGGGGACUUGAUUUGCAGACUGGAUCGUUCACAUUGAAACAAAUCAGACGGGCUACCAAUAACUUUGAUCCAGAAAACAAGAUUGGUGAAGGAGGUUUUGGACCGGUUUAUAAGGUGAUGAUUGCUUUGGUUUUGCAUCUUCACAAAGUUCUUUGAGUUUGGAUUAUAAGUAGUAUAAGUAUUAAUGUGAUUUGGUUUUUAGGGUGUUCUCGCUGAUGGAAUGACCAUAGCUGUGAAGCAGCUUUCAUCAAAAUCUAAGCAAGGAAACAGAGAAUUUGUGACUGAGAUCGGGAUGAUCUCUGCGUUGCAACACCCAAAUCUUGUGAAACUAUAUGGUUGUUGCAUUGAAGGGAAAGAGCUUUUGCUUGUGUACGAGUACUUAGAGAACAACAGUCUCGCUCGCGCUCUCUUUGGUUAGUUUUUUAAUCCAUCUGGAUAGAUAGUUUAAUGUUCCUGAUCUUAAGCUAAAGUCUCUUGUGGGUUUUUUUAAUAGGCACCGAGAAACAGAAACUUCACUUGGACUGGUCAACAAGGAACAAAAUAUGCUUAGGUAUUGCCAAAGGAUUGGCUUAUCUACACGAGGAAUCAAGGCUGAAGAUUGUUCAUAGAGACAUAAAAGCUACGAAUGUUCUUCUUGACCUGUCUUUAAAUGCUAAGAUCUCUGAUUUUGGUCUAGCUAAACUCGACGAAGAAGAGAAUACACAUAUCAGCACAAGAAUUGCAGGAACAAUGUGAGUGCUCAUUACUUAUAUUUUCUAAAAUUUAUAGCGACCAGUUAACACUUGACGUAUCUAUAUUUUUCACUUGAUGCAGAGGUUACAUGGCUCCUGAGUAUGCAAUGAGAGGUUACUUAACAGACAAAGCAGAUGUUUACAGCUUCGGUGUUGUCUGUUUAGAGAUUGUUAGCGGGAAGAGCAACACAAAUUACAGACCAAAAGAAGAGUUUAUUUACCUUCUUGAUUGGGCGUAUGUCUUGCAAGAACAAGGGAGUCUCCUAGAACUCGUGGAUCCAGAUCUCGGUACAAGCUUUUCGAAGAAAGAAGCGAUGAGGAUGUUGAACAUAGCUUUACUAUGUACAAACCC